rnacentral:rRNA from 1 species
GAUUGUCAGGCCUAACACAUGCAAGUCGAGCGGGGAAAGGUAGCUUUCUACCUGACCUAGCGGCGGACGGGUGAGUAAUGCUUAGGAAUCUGCCUAUUAGUGGGGGACAGCAUUCCGAAAGGAAUGCUAAUACCGCAUACGCCCUACGGGGGAAAGCAGGGGAUCUUCGGACCUUGCGCUAAUAGAUGAGCCUAAGUCAGAUUAGCUAGUUGGUGGGGUAAAGGCCUACCAAGGCGACGAUCUGUAGCGGGUCUGAGAGGAUGAUCCGCCACACUGGGACUGAGACACGGCCCAGACUCCUACGGGAGGCAGCAGUGGGGAAUAUUGGACAAUGGGCGAAAGCCUGAUCCAGCCAUGCCGCGUGUGUGAAGAAGGCCUUUUGGUUGUAAAGCACUUUAAGCGAGGAGGAGGCUACUUGGAUUAAUACUCUAGGAUAGUGGACGUUACUCGCAGAAUAAGUACCGGCUAACUCUGUGCCAGCAGCCGCGGUAAUACAGAGGGUGCGAGCGUUAAUCGGAUUUACUGGGCGUAAAGCGUGCGUAGGCGGCUUCUUAAGUCGGAUGUGAAAUCCCUGAGCUUAACUUAGGAAUUGCAUUCGAUACUGGGAAGCUAGAGUAUGGGAGAGGGUGGUAGAAUUCCAGGUGUAGCGGUGAAAUGCGUAGAGAUCUGGAGGAAUACCGAUGGCGAAGGCAGCCAUCUGGCCUAAUACUGACGCUGAGGUACGAGAGCAUGGGGAGCAAACAGGAUUAGAUACCCUGGUAGUCCAUGCCGUAAACGAUGUCUACUAGCCGUUGGGGCCUUUGAGGCUUUAGUGGCGCAGCUAACGCGAUAAGUAGACCGCCUGGGGAGUACGGUCGCAGACU